AUUGAACGCUGGCGGCAGGCUUAACACAUGCAAGUCGAGCGGUAACAGUCCUUCGGGAGCUGACGAGCGGCGAACGGGUGAGUAACGCGUAGGAAUCUACCUGAUAGAGGGGGAUAGCCCGGGGAAACUCGGAUUAAUACCGCAUACGCCCUACGGGGGAAAGCAGGGGAUCUUCGGACCUUGCGCUAUCAGAUGAGCCUGCGUCGGAUUAGCUAGUUGGUAGGGUAAAGGCCUACCAAGGCGACGAUCCGUAGCUGGUCUGAGAGGAUGAUCAGCCACACUGGAACUGAGACACGGUCCAGACUCCUACGGGAGGCAGCAGUGGGGAAUAUUGGACAAUGGGGGAAACCCUGAUCCAGCCAUGCCGCGUGUGUGAAGAAGGCCUUCGGGUUGUAAAGCACUUUCAGUAGGGAGGAAAGGGUGAUGGCUAACAUCCAUCAUCAUUGACGUUGCCUACAGAAGCAGCACCGGCUAACUUCGUGCCAGCCGCCGCGGUAAGAC
rnacentral:rRNA from 1 species